AGAGUUUGAUCCUGGCUCAGGACGAACGCUGGCGGCGUGCUUAACACAUGCAAGUCGAACGAUGAAGCCCUUCGGGGUGGAUUAGUGGCGAACGGGUGAGUAACACGUGGGCAAUCUGCCCUGCACUCUGGGACAAGCCCUGGAAACGGGGUCUAAUACCGGAUGACACUUCCUUCCGCAUGGGAGGAGGUUGAAAGCUCCGGCGGUGCAGGAUGAGCCCGCGGCCUAUCAGCUUGUCGGUGGGGUGAUGGCCUACCAAGGCGACGACGGGUAGCCGGCCCGAGAGGGCGACCGGCCACACUGGGACUGAGACACGGCCCAGACUCCUACGGGAGGCAGCAGUGGGGAAUAUUGCACAAUGGGCGAAAGCCUGAUGCAGCGACGCCGCGUGAGGGAUGACGGCCUUCGGGUUGUAAACCUCUUUCAGCAGGGAAGAAGCGAAAGUGACGGUACCUGCAGAAGAAGCGCCGGCUAACUACGUGCCAGCAGCCGCGGUAAUACGUAGGGCGCAAGCGUUGUCCGGAAUUAUUGGGCGUAAAGAGCUCGUAGGCGGCUUGUCACGUCGGAUGUGAAAGCCCGGGGCUUAACCCCGGGUCUGCAUUCGAUACGGGCAGGCUAGAGUGUGGUAGGGGAGAUCGGAAUUCCUGGUGUAGCGGUGAAAUGCGCAGAUAUCAGGAGGAACACCGGUGGCGAAGGCGGAUCUCUGGGCCAUUACUGACGCUGAGGAGCGAAAGCGUGGGGAGCGAACAGGAUUAGAUACCCUGGUAGUCCACGCCGUAAACGUUGGGAACUAGGUGUUGGCGACAUUCCACGUCGUCGGUGCCGCAGCUAACGCAUUAAGUUCCCCGCCUGGGGAGUACGGCCGCAAGGCUAAAACUCAAAUGAAUUGACGG
rnacentral:rRNA from 1 species